CAGCCAGCUGAGCCUGCUCAGUGGGCACGGCUGCAAGAGCACAAGAUUGCCUCCUGCUCCCUCCUGAAGGAUUUGAGCAACAAUACUGAAGGCCAUUUUGAGUGGUUAGAAGCUAAUUACAAUGCAUUAUAUGAAAAGGCCCA
rnacentral:lncRNA from 12 species